UUUGAUCUACCGAGCCCGCGUU
rnacentral:miRNA from 1 species